UUCAGUUUCAUCAAACAUCUU
rnacentral:misc_RNA from 1 species